AGACGUAGGGGGCAAGCGUUGUCCGGAAUUACUGGGCGUAAAGGGUGCGUAGGCGGAUAUUUAAGUCAGAUGUGAAAUUCCCGGGCUCAACCUGGGAAGUGCAUUUGAAACUGGGUAUCUGGAGUGCAGGAGAGGUAAGUGGAAUUCCUAGUGUAGCGGUGAAAUGCGUAGAUAUUAGGAGGAACACCAGUGGCGAAGGCGACUUACUGGACUGUAACUGACGCUGAAGCACGAAAGCGUGGGGAGC
rnacentral:rRNA from 1 species